CUGUCCAACCACUUACCCGGUCAUCUGAUGUUCAUGCCAAUCAGCAAAAGGAGACAGGAGCUACAGACGUAACCGUUGGGGCUGCAGCUGUGGUUGAUGAACCUGGAAGAAUUUCCUUUUGGACCAGCGUCAAUCACACGGUCCUGAAAUGCGAGAGAGAUGAGAGACAUGACGACAAGGUAGGAUGAGGAUAAUGUGUGUUUUUCACAAUACCGUUACCUUAGUAAGAGUUAACAUGUAGAAGUUGGUGACGUGGUUUUCAUGAGCGCGUUUAAUUCGCUGCUGGCAUUCCUCUGAGUCAAUGACUUCGCCGACAUACUCGGUCACAAAGUCACCCUGCAGGAAACAUGAUGUACAUAUAUGCACACACAUGAGUCUUGAGUGUACGUCUAAAAAAAUAGUUUAUCAAAAAAAAAAAAAAAAAAAAAAAAGGUACUCUCAAGUUUUCCGUGAUGGUAAUCAUAUUGAAAUUCACCAGAAUCUGUCUGUUUGUAUUCAUAGACUAAAAAUCGCAGGGGUGUCAAACUUGCUGAGAUGAUGCAUCUUGGUCAGAGGAAGAACGAGUUUAUAUUUAAGUUAUUGGUCAAGAAAUUACCUCAAAGCAAGUAAAAUAUGAUAUAACACACAGUUGUUUCAGUCUCAACCAUUAGGAGUCACUAUUGCCAAAAAGAGCCAAAUGAUCAUCAUUGAUUAGAUGAACGACUUUAUAUUUGAGGUAAGUGUUAGGGAAAUUGUGUUUUAACGAGUUAAAGAAUUUAUGGUUAUGUUUUAAGUCACAACUUACUGAGCUGCGGGCUGCCAGUACGCCCCAGUGUAAACUGACUCCUGUGCAGAAGUGGGUAGUAACGCGCGACAUUUACUUGAGUAACUUUUUGAGAAAAAUGUACUUGUAAGAGUACUUUUACCAUGCUGUAAUAUUUAUUUUUACUUGAGUAGAUUUGUGAAGAAGAAACACUGCUCUGACUCCGCUACUUUGGGCUACACUAGUCAUUACAUUUUUUCUCUUUAUUCUACAUAUUAGAUUUCACUUUAUUUUUGCCAGACGCCGACAGUGGCUCUGCCAGUUCCACCAAUUAGAACUCGCAACAAAAGUCACAUGAAUGACCGCACAAGUUUGCAGCCGGAAGUCCUAUGAUUUCGCUGGCAUGUUCAAUCACGUGGCGCCUUUAAAGCUCCAUAAAAAAGAAAAUAUUUCAUAUAAAGUCAACAUUAUCGUGGUUUUCAACCCCUCUCACAGUUUUUUGGGCACCGAUAGCCCAAGGAAAACUGGAGAUAUGAUUGGGGUUUUUUUCAUGGUAGAAAAUAUGUUUUCUCUAUAGGGUACUCAUUCUCUUAGGAUGGGUGAUUUUUAAUUUCUGUAUAUUUGGCUUAAUGUUGUCAUGUAAUAGGUUAUAGUACAAUAUAAAAAUAGCAGUUCAUAUAAAUGACAUUGUGCCAAGAAAAAACAUAUACCGUUGUUUAAAAAAAAAAAAAAAAAAAUUUAAUCUGACAUUGUAAGCAGUUACUCACAAUGUUACUCAUUACUUGAGCAUUCUUUAACUUGUACUUGUGAAAAAUUUUUAGAUGACUAUUUUUACUUGAGUAAUAAUAUUUUGAAGUAACGCUACUCUUACUUGAGUAAAAUCUUUGGCUACUCUACCCACCUCUGCUCCUGUGGGUGUUUUGUGACUUAAAGACUGCCCAUCUGCAGUCUUUUGAAUGUGAUGCUAAUAAACGUAGUUUGUGGUCGGUGUGGGCUGAGGGUCUUUGACCAUGCUGGCAGUCAGGACCUCUCAUAAAACCAUGCUCAUCGCCGGCUUGGCUUUCUUGCACGUCUAGAAAAACUACCAAUAAGCCAUUGCUACGGAAAGAAGAGGCCUCAAAACCUAUAAAAAUAUAAUGGUUUGCCAUGGAAAACAGAUUAACUGUGGGUUAUGCAUCUUGCAGGUGAUAAGUGACCCUCAAAGUGUGAAAUGUGUCAGUACUAUUUAGACUAAGGGGAGGUGCACUGUUUCAAAACAAUUACAUUUUUCAAUGAUUGAGUAAUAAAGAUAAUAAAUCUUGUAAUUUAUUCUUACAUUAACUUAAAGAUCAUUUUAAAAACAGGACUAAAAACUAACACCUACCUUCCUCAAAGCCUGAUUGGUUCUAAGGCCCCAUCCACAGCCUUCUGUCUUUAUCACCUCCGUCCCCGUAUACAGGCGUUUGGAGAAACACUGGUUUUCACAAUUUUCACCCGCAGGACAUACCUGUUCCAUGUCGGCAAGAUGUCAACAGGCAGCACUUGACACUCUCUUAGCUUUUUCAAGAGAUGAGCAGAGCAACAAACCUGAGGAUGACAUUCAUACUGCAGCAUGCGAUUGAGACACUGCGAGUCAAGGCUGCACGGAUGCUCGUCUGUGGGCCGGCAGUUGCAGCGUGGGAUUUCAGACAAGUCAGCAACAUGCAUGUGCACUUUCCCCACAGGCUUAUUGGACUAACACAGGAAACACAACACAAAUUUAAGAAAGUACUAUAAAUACGGUGCCUUAAUGCAGCAGUCUCCUAAAAAGGCCCAGAAUAGACCUCAUUGAGAAAACAUUGCAUGUUAUCAUUUUGUCCAUUAAAUUACCUUGAUGAACUUGUAGGGUGGCGGUUUGCGAGAUUUUCGUUCCUGCUCUAGAGCCUCCCUGCUCUCCCUCUGUGCUUUGAGCUCCUGAAACCUGCGGGCUGCUUCUUCUAGAGCUGAAACGACCCAACGAUUUUUUUGAAUCCUAUUCUGUGGUCUGCCUUUGAGGGAAGACACGCCCCUGAUUGAUCCAGUAAUAGUCGUGGGAACCGAAGAAAAAGACUGGGAAAUCGCCAAUAUCAUGGCGAAGGCUCUGGAUGUUCGACGGGACCAAACGAGGGUUGCAGAUCUCUGCUGGCCACCACCUGCAGGAGAAGAGCAUCAUUAUGUCAGAGAGAGAACAUAAUAGUCUUUAGAUUUGGGACAAAAUAUUGUUUGGCGACAUACAGCGAUAGAAGACGUCACGAUACGCAUCAAGUUUGAGGGAAAAUUGAUCGCUAAAAAAAAGACUAGAUGCAUCGCCACAUGAUUUGAGAAAAAUAUCCCAUGAAUAGCCUAAUCAUAUUGCAUUAUUGACCCAGCAACUUUAUCAUUAGCCAUUUUGUGGCGCUCAUGAGGCAGGGACAAUCAAUUCCUGCUAAUAAGGUGUAAGCCUUAGUGUGCUACUAUGAUCACGGACUGCUGCUAUUGAUGAUUCUCAAUUGGUUUGUCAAUCUGUUGAUUUAUUAUUUCAACAUCAACACUACCUCCUUUAUAAUUGUAUAAUGUCUUGCGUUUUUUGUUUUGUUUUGUUUUUUAGAUAAUUUGAUUGUAUGUUAUUUAUGACGUUAGUUCAUUGUGCGAUGCACCGGAACGGAGUUGCCCUUUCAAUCUCAUUGUACCCUGUGUAAUGACAAAUAAAGUCAAGAAUAUUCUAUUUUAAUCAGUUGAUUGCAGUCAGGUGCGGCUUGUUUCAAAAACCAAAAAGUUAUUGGUCAAACUGUGGAUUUUCCGUUUGAACAAAAACCAUGACCCAUAUAGUUUCUUUGUGGAAUCUGUUUGACACCUGUGGUAUAAGCAGAGGAACGGGCUUUCACCCAUCAUGAACAAUGACAAGUAAUAGCAGUUUAUUAAAUCAAAGGUUGUUCAAACGCAAGGUUUUAACUAAAUGGCAUAACUAGCAAUUAACGAAACAACUCGAACAGUAACUGAAGAAAUAAUCAGCACAGAACAAACUUAGUUUUUUUUUUUCUUUUCUUUUUUUAACAUCUGUAGCGCCACAAUGAAUGCUGAAAGGCAUGAGGCAUGUUGGACGACAACACAACAGGUGGCAGCGAAGGUUGUGCGUCUCUCACAAGGAAGCAGUAAUGGCCAAAUAAGGCUUGCUGAAGCUACGAAGCUUUGCAGCCAAUUGGUUCAACGCUUCAUGGUGGUUCAUUUGCUUUAUGGUGCUAUCAAUUUGUCUUAAAUCCCAAGAGUCCAACAGUGUUUAGAAUUCUAUUGCUAUUGCUUUAAGAGAAUGAUAUGAAUUUGUUUGUGUUACUAUAUGAACCGAAUGAAACAAAUGAUACAAAGAUAAUUUGUUAUUCAUUUUUAUUUAGAACUAAUUUGCUUUC